rnacentral:rRNA from 1 species
GGCCUUUAGAAUUUAAUUUAAGGUCUGGCCUGCCCAGUGAUAAAUUUAACGGCCGCGGUAUACUGACCGUGCAAAGGUAGCAUAAUCAUUAGUCUUUUAAUAGAGGGCUGGAAUGAACGGUUUAACGAGGAAUUGACUGUCUCAUUUUAUUUGUUUUAAAACUUAAUUUUUUAGUUAAAAAGCUAAAAUACUAUUGGAAGACGAGAAGACCCUAUAGAUCUUUAUAUAUUCUUUUAUAUUUAUUUAUAUAUUAAUAUAAUUAUGGAAGAUUAUAUUUUGUUGGGGUGACAAAAAUAUAUAAUUAACUUUUUCAUUUAUUUACCAUUGAUAUAUGAAUUUUAGAUCCAUUUUUAAUGAUUGUUAGAUUAAGUUACCUUAGGGAUAACAGCGUAAUCCUCUUCCAGAGUUCAUAUUUACAGGAGGGCUUGCGACCUCGAUGUUGGAUUAAGAUAAUAAUUAGGUGUAGCCGCUUAAUAUAUAGGUCUGUUCGACCUUUAAAUUCUU